UACGUAGGGGGCAAGCGUUGUCCGGAUUUAUUGGGCGUAAAGAGCGUGUAGGCGGCUAGAUAGGUCCGUUGUGAAAACUCGAGGCUCAACCUCGAGACGCCGAUGGAAACCAUCUGGCUAGAGUCCGGAAGAGGAGAGUGGAAUUCCCGGUGUAGCGGUGAAAUGCGCAGAUAUCGGGAAGAACACCCGUGGCUAAGGCGGCUCUCUAGUACGGUACUGACGCUGAGACGCGAAAGCGUGGGGAGCGAACAGG
rnacentral:rRNA from 1 species